rnacentral:misc_RNA from 1 species
GUCAAGAAACUACCUGUUGUAGAUCCAUACGAAAGGAUCUCUCCUCUCGUUUCCUAACUCCUGUAGGCUUUGAACAUUAGCCUUUUUGUCAAUUCUACGGUGUAGAUUUCUCAUGUUAAUCGAUUGAUCGAACUGAUCGAUAACUCCUUCCAAGCUAUGUUCAAGUUAUGGGGUUCUCAGGAGCAACAAGCUCAGCCACGUCCACAAGAUGCUCCUUCACAAUCUUGGUACCCUCCAUCUGUAGUGAGCUCUAAUUCCUCCCGCCCUGUAACACCAAGUAGCAGCUCUUCUGGUAGCUAUGGUUUGCAACAACAUACAGAUCGGCCACAGUCUCCUUCACACGUGUCACCUGCUGAAGCAGCUGGUAUUAUUGCUCUUUUGAAGGAUAAAAGUGUUGAUGAGCUUCGGAAGCUUUUGUCAGACAAGGAUGCAUACCAUCAAUUUUUACUUUCUGUUGAUCAGGUUAAAAUUCAAAACAAUAUAAGAGAUGAGCUUCGCAAAGAAACUCUGCAGCUGGCAAGGGAGAACUUGGACAAGGAGCCACGCAUAAUGGAGCUAAGGAACCAGUGCAGAAUAAUACGGACAACUGAGUUGGCUGCUGCCCAGGAGAAAUUAAAUGAACUGGAAAAACAGAGAGAAGAGAUUUUGAAGUCCAUCUCCCCUGUAUCCCUUCUCCAAAGGCUUCAAGAAG